rnacentral:rRNA from 1 species
AUACGGAGGAUGCGAGCGUUAUCCGGAUUUAUUGGGUUUAAAGGGUGCGUAGGCGGUUUUGCAAGUCAGCGGUGAAACGCACGGGCUUAACCUGUGACCUGCCGUUGUAACUGCGGGACUGGAAUGCGGAUGCUGUGGGAGGAAUGUGUGGUGUCGCGGUGAAAUGCAUAGAUAUAACACAGAACACCGAUUGCGAAGGCAUCUCACAAAUCCGUGAUUGACGCUGAGGCACGAAAGUGUGGGGAUCAAACAGGAUUAGAUACCCUGGUAGUCCACACUGUAAACGAUGAUAACUCGCUGUCGGCGAUACACAGUCGGUGGCCAAGCGAAAGCGAUAAGUUAUCCACCUGGGGAGUACGACCGCAAGGUUGAAACUCAAAGGAAUUGACGGGG